rnacentral:rRNA from 1 species
UGGGGAAUAUUGGACAAUGGGCGAAAGCCUGAUCCAGCCAUGCCGCGUGUGUGAAGAAGGUCUUCGGAUUGUAAAGCACUUUAAGUUGGGAGGAAGGGCAGUAAGCUAAUACCUUGCUGUUUUGACGUUACCGACGGAAUAAGCACCGGCUAACUCUGUGCCAG